rnacentral:misc_RNA from 1 species
GAAGCUUUCAUGGGAGGAGUUACAGGAUAUGCUCCGACCACCACUGAGUGUUCAGCCAACCACUGUCACCAUAGAGGACCAAGAAUUUGAAGAAUACGAACAACCACCUGUUCUUGGGAAGAGGAGUAUAUUUACUGUCCGCUUAUCUGGGGAGCAGGAGCAGUGGGCUCAAUGUGAUAAUUGCUUUAAGUGGCGAAAGUUGCCAGCUGAUUAUCUUCUACCUCCUCAUUGGACAUGUCAGGACAACAUUUCAGAUCAUAGCAGGUCCUCUUGUUCCAUCCCAGACGAUUUAACACCCAGAGAGCUUGAAAAUCUUUUCAAAAUGGACAAGGGUGAAGUAACUUGUUGCUUUAGUUUUAGUGUAUAUUUCGGUCAUGCACCAGCUGG